CAGCCGUAAACUAUGCGCGUUAGGUGUAUCAGUGACCACGAGUUACCGAGGUGCCGAAGGGAAACCGUGAAACGUGCCGCCUGGGAAGUACGGUCGCAAGGCUGAAACUUAAAGGAAUUGGCGGGGGAGCACCACAACAGGUGGAGCCUGCGGUUUAAUUGGACUCAACGCCGGGAAGCUCACCGGAUAGGACAGCAGAAUGAUUGCCGGGCUGAAGACCCUGCAUGACUAGCUGAGAGGAGGUGCAUGGCGUCAGUGACU
rnacentral:rRNA from 1 species